AGAACGUUGGAUAAGCGGAUGUUGGAUAAUAAGGAGAGAUUAAGAAAAAGCCUAUUAAACAUCAAAUUAGGCUAUGAUUUUACAAAUUAAGCACCAAAACAUCAUGUUAUACAACAAAUUUGACAGAGAAGUAGUUCAUUACACAUUAAUGCUAUGUAGUAAUUAUUGUAUUUACGAAUUUAGCACCAAAAUAUCACAAUGCAUUGAAAACAUUGACUACAAAAAUGUGUUGGAUAAUCCAGAACGUUGGAUAAGUGAGUGUUGGAUAAGUGAGACUCUACUGUAUGAUGUUCUGGCUCAUGGUGAUGAUAAUUAUUUAAACUGGCCUGUUUCCUUUGGACUAAUGCCUAUCUUGAGAGAUGCCUCCUUAUCAGGCAGUUGAGACCCACUAAGUGCCUCACAGCAUUCCUUGCUAAAAGAAGAAACAACCAAACAAUUGCCCAGCCUGUAGUCAGGUCCAUAGAGGGAAAACUUUCAUGGGCUGCACUGGGCUCAGGUCCUAAGUCAGUAUUUUAUUUUUAUUUUUAAUGCAAAUUCUGAGCUCUCUAAGGGACAGCAGUACGAUGAAUCAUACAGCACUAGCAUCUCUCAUCUCUCAGUGUGUUCGGAAGAUUUUGGAAAAAAACUUGAAUGCAAGCAAAAAUGCUACGAUGGAGAAAACACCAAAAUACAAACCAUAUGACAACGCCUAUUUCUUCAUCCUCUUUGUCAUGUUGUUUUACUCUUUCCUGGCGUUGACUGUCUUUUUCGGUUAUGUUCGCUCCAAGAAAGCCAUUUCAAAGAAAGAUCCUUACCAGGAGUUCAUUGAGGAUAAGGAUCGAAGCAAGAAGUGGAACACGAGCCGGCCAGUGGUGGUGAAAUUUGACUUUGAAGAGGAGAGCAUUCUUUGAAGUGCUUAAAACCAAAAUGCUUUGCAAACUGUACUGGACUGUCUGUGUCGUCUACAUGUCAAAGGAAGGUCUGCACACAUCUCCUUCGAUGACGUCCAGUACACUAAGUAAAACCACUGGCUAGAAAAGAUAUCGGGGAUGCAUCAAAAUUACACAACUACGGCCCUUGUGAAACCAAUGUUGAAAUAAGGCCAUAUGGAUAUAAAUGGAAGACUGCAGCAUUGCUUCUAAGGAAUUGCAAGGAUGUGGGAUGAAGCAAUAGAUAACAUUGACCUUGAAAUUAUAUCAAGAAAGCAGCUGUAUAAGCAAAAUAAAAUGAAAUGUAUUAAUAUUCAAACAUUAAUAUAAUCUAAUAUUCACCUGCAGAACCUGGAAUCUUUACAAUUGUAUUAUUUACAUUAUCAUCAUUGUCAUUGCCAUUGUGGCUGUCAUUUCAUGUAAAACAUUUAUGUAGAUACCAUUCACCAUGUUGAACAAUAUCUAGAAGCGGUUUUCAUUUCUAGCAUCAUGUCAUAGUGCUGUAAAGAUUAUUUUAUCUAUUUUUAUUUAUAUACAAAUCCUACUAUUCCUCCAAAGUGAUCAGGAUUACAAUCACAGGGAAAAGGCUAUUAUGGAGUUCUCCUUCAUUUUUAAUGUUUAAAAUGGGGUGCAAUUUUGAACACUCAAUGUGGAUGUCCCAGAGCAUGAAAGGAAUUUGUUAAAAUUAUUUUAUCAGUCCUCAUUCAUUAAAAUGUCUAAUAAUGAAUUUAGCACUUGUUAAAUUUAUUUUUAAAUUAUAACAAUGUUAUUGUGAAUAUUUCAUGUUGCUACACGUACAGUAGAUUUCUUUUUCUUUGGCUAAAAAAGAAAGAAGGCUAAAGACCUCCAUCAAAUUCCCAUGAUUUUGUAGCAUUGAGCAAUAGUAGUUAAAGUGAUAUAAAACUGCAUUAAUUCUACAGAGCAGAUGUACCAUUGGGACUCAUUCCAAUAGGGUGGGAAAGUGGACAAAAGCAGGGAAAAGUGGAAGGAAAUGUCUUGUUUUAUUCCUUACUGUCGAGGUUCCAUGCCUUUCUGUAGUCAGGGAUGGCAGCCAUCCCAUGUCCUUUCCCCACUUCCAUUUGUCUUUUCUAGUUGGGAAUCAGGCAGUUCUGUUUCCCUGCACUCCUGCAAUGGAGUCCCAGGGGAAACCACUGGAAGUGGCCUUCUGUCAUGUGAUAGCCUCUGUGGGCCUCCGUUUCUGCAGUGCAGAGAAAUGGAGCCAAGAUUAUGUAGGAUGAUGUUUGUAGUCAACUUAGGAUCUCAUUACAUUAAAGCUGGGAUUCGCCAUGCAUUGUGAUGAAUCUGACGUAGGACAUGGGGAACCCGUCGCUCCAUGCCUCACAUCUCCCACCUUCCUUCUCACCCCAUCCCAUGGGGAGAAGCAUCUGCCACCCGGCUUCCUCCCAUUGUUUUCUAUGCAAUACGGGAAACCUUCUGUGUUGCUGCCGUGCCGGCUUACCACACUUCCACUUCACUUGCUGCUUGGAGCCCCAUCGGAAGUAGAUUGACAUCGUGGGAUGGGAGCUGGCAGACUCUGUGCCAUAAGUGAAGUCUAAGAUCUAGACUUCAACCCCUUUGUUAUUCAGCUAUGUUAAUGUUGAAUUAGAGUUGUUCCAUCUUAUUUCAAAAAGACUUUAACAAACAGGCUUUGACAAAUAUGGACUUUGUGCUGAGAAAAUGAUGUAUCUGUUGAAUUUAACCUGUAGAAAUGGACGACUGCUUCAUUUUCGUUCCUUUUGGAAGAAUUAACCAAAAUUUGUCAAUCAUGUGUUUAGGAUAAAAUUAACAGAAUAUCUAAAAACCUGAAGGUAGUAGAGAGUAGGACUGCCAGAUUUUCCCAGCUCUAGUGUAAAUUCAUUCCUCUGAAGCUGUCACUCUUAACGCUAUCAGCUAAAAACAAUUUCUUGGCUUAAGACACUCAGCAGCCCCUGCCUUAGGAUUCUUUGUAUAUGUUUUGCUGUUUAUGAUUACUCUUGGUUUCGGUUUCUCUUGCCAGGAUUUGGUCCACAUGAGUGUUCCUGUUCAACCCAAUUUAAAUUCAUUUCAAGAGGAAAUUUUAUGAAACACUGCAUCAAAGGCUUUACUAAAAUACAAAUAUGUUACAUCUA